GCCAAACAUCUAGCCUUACCAUCAAACCUAACCCGAUAACAUAAAUAAGAAUGCAAGACCUACCACAAUAAAUCAAACCAUUUUAAACAUCUUAGUAUGGGAGACAGAAAAGAUUCAAGAAGAGCAAUAGAGAAAGUACCGCAAGGGAAAGAUGAAAGAGAAAUGAAAUAACACAUAUAAGCGUAAAAAACCAGGGGUAAAACCCCGUACCUUUUGCAUCAUGAUUUAGCCAGCACUACUUAAGCGAAGAGAUCUUUAGUUUAAUACCCCGAAACCAGGUGAGCUACCCCGAGGCAGCCUACACAUAUAGGGCCAAUCCGUCUCUGUGGCAAAAGAGUGGAAAGAACUCCGGGUAGUGGUGACAGACCUAUCGAACCUGGUUAUAGCUGGUUGCCCAGGAAGUGAAUAGAAGUUCAGCCUAGUAUUCUCCACAUUUAAUAAAUUUAGAAAACUAAGGAAAAAAUACUAGAGUUAGUCAAGAGGGGUACAGCCCCUUUGACCAAGGACACAACCUUAACAGGAGAAUAAAGAUCAUAUUUCACAAAACAAAUUGUUUUGGUGGGCCUAAGAGCAGCCACCCAAUCAGAAAGCGUUAAAGCUCGGACAAAAUGAAGUUGAUUAUACCGACAGAAAAUCUUAAUUCCCUAAAAGUACUGGAUCGCCCCAUGCUUACAUGGGAGAGACAAUGCUAAAAUGAGUAACAAGAAGACUAGAACUUCUCCUAGCACAAGUGUAAGCCGGAUCGGACUAACCACCGGCAAAUAGCGGACCCAAAAAGAGAGGGAAUUGUGGCUCAUAAAAAGACCAAGAAAACCCCACAAUUGUCACCGUUAUCCCCACACUGGAGUGCCUAUGGGAAAGAUUAAAGGGAGGGAAAGGAACUCGGCAAGCACAAGCCUCGCCUGUUUACCAAAAACAUCGCCUCCUGCAACUUGAUUGUAUAGGAGGUCCAGCCUGCCCAGUGACUAUUAGUUCAACGGCCGCGGUAUUCUGACCGUGCAAAGGUAGCGUAAUCACUCGUCCUUUAAAUGGGGUCAAGUAUGAAAGGCUACACGAGGGCUUAACUGUCUCCCCCUCCAAAUCAGUGAAAUUGAUCUAUCCGUGCAGAAGCGGGUAUAAAAAUACAAGACGAGAAGACCCUUUGGAGCUUUAGGUACAAGACUUAACCACAUUAAGCAAAUUUAUAAGAACAAAAAUCUCAUGGAAACUAAGACUCUACCUUCGGUUGGGGCGACCACGGAGUAAAAACUAACCUCCGAGUGGACUGGGAACAUCCCUAAAGCUAAGACACUCACCUCUAAGCCGCAGAAAUUCUGACCAAGAAUGAUCCGGACAUUAUACCGAUCAACGAACCAAGUUACCCUAGGGAUAACAGCGCAAUCCUCUCCCAGAGCCCAUAUCGACGAGGGGGUUUACGACCUCGAUGUUGGAUCAGGACAUCCUAAUGGUGCAGCCGCUAUUAAGGGUUCGUUUGUUCAACGAUAAAAGUCCUACGUGAUCUGAGUUCAGACCGGAGUAAUCCAGGUCAGUUUCUAUCUGUAGAGCUAUUUCUUCCCAGUACGAAAGGACAGGAAAAGAGGGGCCUAUGCUAAAGGUACGCCCCACUCCAAAUUGAUGAAUACAAAUGAAUCAAAUAAAGGAGAGCUGCAGUAUUAAACUCUAGAUAAGAGUG
rnacentral:rRNA from 1 species